AAGAAACUGAAGCAUAGGCCUGGGAAGGUUCUGAGACUCUUCAUCUUUCAUCUCUACUCCUCCAUAUGGAUUGGUUGUCCUGUCCUGUUUCCAUGGACUUCUUCCUCUCCAUCCUCUACAGAUUCAUAGUGAAGACAGCUGCCUUACAGUUCUUAUAUUUAAUCGCCCUCCUCACCACCUGCGGAACAGAAGACAAAUGAUGCACCUUCACUCCAGCAUACUUAGAGGCAUUAUGAAUAAAGAGUCUACUAAGAAGGUUUAUCACGCCUCCCAGAAAAGUCAGCACACUACAAAUGCAGUGCAGUUUAUGGACUAUGAAUAGGAAACACUCUGAAAUUAAGUGAUAUAAACAAGCCAUACUUUAAACAAGAUGCUCUAAGCAUGCUAUACUAAAUGUAUACCAGUAUUUAUACUGAUCCAUUUAUUAACAUCCUGUGUGCUCAUCUUUCCACACUUACAUAAUUUACCAACAUUUGGUUUCAGUGAGGUCGCACAGUCCAUUAACUAUAUUUCUCAUUACUUUUCAUCAGCCAAUAAUAUUACCAUAGUCGUAAUACUUCCUGUACAUAGGUGAACUUUUCUUACAGCCCAUUUCUAUUUAAAGUUAUAACCACAACAAUUCAUGUGCAGACAGUUGUUGGAGCAGAAUUUCAUUUAAUUAUGUAAUUCUAAGUAGCUGAAGUAUAGUCAAGGUUCAUAAAAGGGAAAAUAAUCAGAGCAAGAAUAACCCAUCAGUGGUGGGUGUAAGAAUAAGGCAAUUAAGAUACUUGGCCCCUUCUGUGUGUAGAAGGCUGGAACACAUCUCUUCAUUUCUCGUUCCCCUGGUAUUUCCUCCUGUCAUAGACAGAAGGGCAAUUUAUUUCCCCUUACAUGGUGAGAAAGGUGAAGAAAUAAAGAAUGCAAAGGGCUGGGGAUUUAGCUCAGUGGUGCCGCUGCCUGCCUCGAAAGCACAGGGUCCUGAGUUUGAUCCCCAGUACCCCCCAAAAAGAAUGCAAUUUUAAAAUAGAUAUAAUAAAAGCCUUGCUACCUUCCUUGCUAAGGGUUAUGAAGUUCUGGUGAGGAACAUUUGAAAUUCCCUUGUAAACUGUAAAGGGAAAACCUUCUUCUGUGGCAGCCUUGCUUAAAAUCUGGCAGUGUCUUCCCUAGGACUUCAGGAUGAAGUUCAGAAUCUGUGUAUGCCUCAGUGAUCCUCCCUGACCUCAGCUCACACCUGCAGACAUCUCCUAUCUCUCAGUCACCUCCAGUGUUCCACAUACAUGACAAGCUUCCAUUCAUGCUCAUCCUUCUCUUUGUACCCUUACUUCUCUGUCCCUUACAUCUGUGUAGGUAUUCCUCCUCCAUGUCCCCUUCGAAACACAUGCUUUCUCUCAAGCAACACUUCCCAGCAGCAGCACCGUGGGCAUUCUGGACAGGACAGGAUUUUUUUUUAAUUGAGGAGGGUUGGCAGGGCACUAUAGAGUGUUUAGCAGCAUCAGUGACCUCUAUCCACUAGAUGCCAGUAGCAGGCCCCUCAUUUUGACAACCACUUUCCCCAGAAACAAAUUGCAUUUGCUGAGAACCACUGCUCUAAGGUACAGCUUAUACUGGAACCAGUUGUAGUCUAACUAUAGCCAGAUGCUCACAAAAUGUACACACAAAUAAAAAUGCAGCUUUCUUUGUUAGUAGAGGACUGAUCUUGCUUUCAAGCCACCAAGCCACCAUCACACUGGUGAGAGAAAAUAUUUGAUCUGGCUAAUUGAAAGUAUCCUAUUCUUUUCUGGUUUAAAACCUUUUAUUGCAUGAAAAGUGAAGCAUUCCCCUCUGAAGUUUGAUUUCAUGUUUACUCAUAAACAGCAGCUGCUCUCAAAAGUUGUUCACUUAAUCCCUGGUACCAAAAAAAAAAAUUGUUCACUUUUCCUUGGCCUGGUGGCACAUGCCUGUAAUCCCAGCACUUAGAAGGCUGAAGCAGGAGGAUUGCUGUAAAUUCAAGGCCAGUCUGAACUACAUAGUGAGACCCUGUCUCAAAAAACAAACAAACAAAAGUUGUCCACUUCUGAGUAAUUGUGAGUUUGCCUCAGAGCACACAAAUGCUCUAAAGGGCUUUUUGUUUUAUGUCGUAGGAGAAGUGGGCAGAAUGAGCUGGAUGCUCAGAAGUUUGCAAGUUAAGCCAUGGAGCAGAAGCAGGGAGGGGACACUACAUCUGGUCUUCUCUCUGCCUAGAUCUAUUUCCAACUUAAAGUCUAAGCAGGGUGUUUUCAUUCAGCACCUUUCAAAGGACACUUGGAGUUUACCUAGCAUUUCCCCAGAGAUGACAGGAACAAAAUCCUACACGUCAAGAUCUCCCCAGAACUUUCCAGGUUAUUGAAGGUCUCUCUCCCUCCCUCAACUCUGGAAUGGAAGAAUGUGGAGGUAAACAAGCCCAGGAGACAGAGGAGAAGACACAGACACAAGGGAGUUCAAGAGAACACAGAGGCAGAGAUUGGAGUGAUCCAGGCACAAACCAAGGAAGCUGACAGAGGCAAAGGACAGAAUCUCCUCUAGGACUUCCAGAGGGAGCAUGGACAUUCUGUGAACAACUUGAUUUCUGAUGUUUAGCCUUCAGAACAUAAGGGAAUAAAUUUAUGUUGCUGUAAGCCACCCAGUUUGUGGUCACUUGUUGCUGCAGUCCUAGGAAACCAAUACCCUAUCCCAUAUACUAGCCUUCAUGGUGAUCUGCUACUCAUCUUUCACAUCCAGCUCAAGUAUGACAUUCUCUGUGAAGACUUCCUGAUGCUCCUAGGCAGAGGGAAUGCCCUCUCCGCUCUUACCUUGUGCAGGGUUUUUCACAGCGUCUAUCACAUUUGCC
ensembl:lncRNA